rnacentral:lncRNA from 1 species
UUAUCAACACCUAUUUAUGUUGUUUCUACUAAUAGGCCAGUACUUCGCUACUUAUAAGGAGGCACACAGAAAAAGGCAAAAAGAAAAAAAAAAAAAAAAGUGUAACCCCUGCUAUCAAGGAGAUUGAAGGGAAUGAGAAAAUAACAAAUGUGAAAAAGUUAGUAAGUACUUAGCUAUUGGGAUAAAUAGAGUACAAAGGGCUCUUGGAGACAACAGAAAAUAGUAACAGUGAGAAGAGUUAGACAAUGAGAAAAUCAGAACUUGAAUUGGACUUUGAAAUGCUGGUAGAAUUUGAGAGGCAGAAAGGAUGUGAGGUGUGACUCCAGGUGUUGGAUGAAUAGCUGGACCUGUCAACAACAAUCACAAAGGAUCCAGAAGGUACACUGAUGAGCAUGAAGAAAAGAAAAAGGAAAAAGAACAGCAAGAAAGACGCAAACAUUUACUCUUUUGUUUUAACUCUAACAAUUAGGAGUUAGGUAGUUAUCCUUAUUUUUAUCCUUAUUUUACAGAAGGAGCAAAUGUGGCACAGAAAAAAUAGUGGCAGAGGUGGUUUCACCCCUGAAACUCUAUGGUUUCAAAACACUGCUUGCCGAUCCCCCCAACUCCUCGUAUUGCCUCUGAAGACAUUUUGCUGUGCUCUGGAGAAUGAAAAUCAAAGGUGGUCUCUGAUUCAGAGAAACCUUUACUCAUUCAACUUGAGAGAAAAGAUGCAGACAUGGAAAAUGAGCACACAGGCAUCAUUGUCACAACAGGAGGGUGAAUGGACCUCAGUUUCCUGGUGGACCCCUGAAACUACAGAAGCCCUUUCAAUUCAGGUCCCAAGGUCCCUCCGAGGUGCACUCUAA